rnacentral:rRNA from 1 species
UAGUGAACCAGUACCGUGAGGGAAAGGCGAAAAGAACCCCGGCGAGGGGAGUGAAAAAGAACCUGAAACCGUGUACGUACAAGCAGUGGGAGCACAGGUUUACCUGUGUGACUGCGUACCUUUUGUAUAAUGGGUCAGCGACUUAUAUUCUGUAGCAAGGUUAACCGUAUAGGGGAGCCGCAGGGAAACCGAGUCUUAACCGGGCGUUAAGUUGCAGGGUAUAGACCCGAAACCCGGUGAUCUAGCCAUGGGCAGGUUGAAGGUUGGGUAACACUAACUGGAGGACCGAACCGACUAAUGUUGAAAAAUUAGCGGAUGACCUGUGGCUGGGGGUGAAAGGCCAAUCAAACCGGGAGAUAGCUGGUUCUCCCCGAAAGCUAUUUAGGUAGCGCCUCGUGAAUUCAUCUCCGGGGGUAGAGCACUGUUUCGGCUAGGGGGCCAUCCCGGCUUACCAACCCGAUGCAAACUGCGAAUACCGGAGAAUGUUAUCACGGGAGACACACGGCGGGUGCUAACGUCCGUCGUGAAGAGGGAAACAACCCAGACCGCCAGCUAAGGUCCCAAAGUCAUGGUUAAGUGGGAAACGAUGUGGGAAGGCCCAGACAGCCAGGAUGUUGGCUUAGAAGCAGCCAUCAUUUAAAGAAAGCGUAAUAGCUCACUGGUCGAGUCGGCCUGCGCGGAAGAUGUAACGGGGCUAAACCAU